AUGCCACCUUUCAAAGGUGGCAGCAUGACCACGAAGAUGCUUUUCCCAGAGAGAGGCUUAUCCAUUGCACUUCAGAUGUGGUGACCCUGGUGAUUUUCUUAACUAUGGGAAUGAGACUGCAUAAUUUGUAGUAGUGGGGGGACUGUGUUCAUUCUCUACCCUU